rnacentral:lncRNA from 1 species
CAAGAGUUAGUCCCUUAAUCCUUUUUUCUUGACAUGAUUUCUAACUAGCUCCUUUGCUGCUGCUGCUGCUUCUUCUUCUUCUUCUUCUUAUUAUUAUUAUUAUACAAAUUAACUACUACUCUUUGCUUUCUCAUCUACUUUGGAAGUAGUUUAAAGACCCUAAAGUAAUUUAAAGAACUUGUGACCCCACCUGCAUCUUGCUGCUCAUUGCUAGCUACUACUAACACCAGUUGUGAAAGCUGUCUGAUGAAAUUACUGAACCAGGCUUCCAGGAACCAACCUGACUGCCCUCAGAACCUGAGAAAAUGACAGCUCCUUAGAAUCAAAGGUGCAUGGGCUUCCACAAAUUUCGAGGUGAACAACUUUAUUCUGAGUUAUCUACUUCAGUGACCAUUCUGAGUAUUUCCUGAAGGCUCCAAGACCCUCUGAUUCCUCCCUAUAAAUCCUUGGCUGGGCCAGGGGGCCUGAGCCAUUCCAGGAAAACAUCCUGAUGUUGAUUCCCAAAAGUUUUGAGCUGCUCCUUCAAGAAAGCUUCCAGUUUUGUGGUUCUCAUUAUAAAACAAUAACCUUCAACUGCUUCAGGAUGCCUCCAAGGAUUGGGGGAAUGUGUCCAAGAUCUGCCUCAAGCAGAUCACUGAAUACCAUUGCAGAGCUGCAGAGACGCAGUCAGCAAGAGAGAGGAGAAUUGGAUUCUGGUUGAGCCAAAGAGACUACAUGCUAAACCCCUAGCAAAUUUGCCUUCUGGGAAAAAUAAAAGAAGCCCACUUGGAAAGAAAGAGGAUUGUCUAAAAGCCAGCUAAGAUCAAUGGUUGCAUUCUGCUACACUGAGAACAUCUAAACAUUUCAGACCCUAGAGCUGGAGCCAUCUGCUGUCAUUUGAAC